GCAGCCGCGGUAAUACGUAGGGUGCAAGCGUUAUCCGGAUUUAUUGGGCGUAAAGGGCUCGUAGGCGGUUCGUCGCGUCCGGUGUGAAAGUCCAUCGCUUAACGGUGGAUCCGCGCCGGGUACGGGCGGGCUUGAGUGCGGUAGGGGAGACUGGAAUUCCCGGUGUAACGGUGGAAUGUGUAGAUAUCGGGAAGAACACCAAUGGCGAAGGCAGGUCUCUGGGCCGUUACUGACGCUGAGGAGCGAAAGCGUGGGGAGCGAACAGGAUUAGAUACCCC
rnacentral:rRNA from 1 species